rnacentral:rRNA from 1 species
UAAAGUCAAAUUAAUUGGUUAAAGCUAAUUAAAUAGUUACUGUAAAGUACAACAACUCUACUUAUUACUGUAAGAGUAAAAUCUUUAUAAAUAAGAUAGGAAUGUGUUUAUGUAACAUUAAUUCUCUUACGAGGCGCUAACAUAAAGACUAGGAUUAGAUACCCUAUUAUGGGCGUGAGUAUGAAAGUUUAUUAAGUUAAUAGCCUUAAUUAAAGCAAAAUCUAUUUACUAUGGCGGCUGUUAGUCUCACCAGAGUCGUAUGUCCUUAAACGAAACUGCGCGACCAUCUUACCUUUUAACUUUUGCUUACAUAAAAUAAUUACACUAUAGCAAUCUGGCACGUCGCUGUACUAAAAGUGAAGAUUUUAAAUAACUCAUCUUCUAAUUACUUACUAACAUUUAUUAGUAACGUACAAGUCAAGACGCCGUUUUAAGAGGCUUAAGAUGUACGAUUUAAUUGGUUUGAUAGAAUUCAUAAGAAUGAAAACUUUCUUUAUUAAAAUAAUUUGGAAGUAAAAUAGGGUUAUUAUUCUUAUUUGAAAUGAGCUACUAAUAAGU